rnacentral:rRNA from 1 species
UACGGAGGGUGCAAGCGUUAUCCGGAUUUACUGGGUUUAAAGGGUGCGUAGGUGGGUAAGUAAGUCAGUGGUGAAAUCUCCGAGCUUAACUCGGAAACUGCCAUUGAUACUAUUUAUCUUGAAUUAUCUGGAGGUAAGCGGAAUAUGUCAUGUAGCGGUGAAAUGCUUAGAUAUGACACAGAACACCGAUUGCGAAGGCAGCUCACAAAACUAUAACUGACGCUGAGGCACGAAAGCGUGGGUAUCAAACAGG